AGACUGCCAUGGGACCUCUCAGGCCAUACAACACCGCUCCUGCCGGUGGGGAAGGCACAGUAUUGGCUCUGACUCUCGAGCACCAGAGACCGCUGGGUACCAUGGGAGAGCCAGUUUGGGGGUCCCUGGGCCUUACAGUGGCCAAGGGACGACUAGUUCUCACUCUCGGACAUCCCACACUGCUGUAUGUCACCAAAGAGCUGGGAAUGGGCCCUUGGAUGGAUUCUAGCCCUGGGGUGGAAGGGAGGGUAGGGGGAAAGCUCUAGCAGGUUACCACAGUGAUGAGAGUCUGGCUAGUUCAGGCAGGCAGCUUGGAUUGGUGGCAGCUGUGGCUGGAGCACAGGAAGGCCUCCAGGCGGGAGGUUUGAUGCUCUGCUCAUUAGAGGGAAGCCUGGUCCAUUGCUCCAGCAUGGCGGAUCUCGAUGAGCAGAGAUGGUCCAUUGUCUGAAGGCAUUUAUUGUAGAAAGGCAGAGGGAGAGAGAAGGGAAGAGAAGUAGAAGCCGGCCAUGGCCACAUGAAGAGAGCGGGGAAUGACACAUGAAGAGAGGGGGGAAUGAAAGGGGAGAAGGAGAGUGAGAGGCAAAAGACAAGGGGAGAGCAAGAGCGAGAGCGAGAGCGAGAGCGAGAGAGAGAGCGAGAGCGAGAGCGAGAGCGAGAGCGAGAGCGAGAGAGAGAGAGAGAGAGAGAGAGAGAGAGAGAGAGCGAGAGAGAGAGGAGGGGCGGAGGCAGCCUCCUUUGUAGUGGGCUGGGCUACCUUGCUGUUGCCAGGUAACUGUGGGGAGGAGCUUCCCUGGCUGUAGCCAGAAUACCAGGAGCUUGGGACAUUGUCUACAUGACUGAUAGUCACAGGAUUAUGGAGUUGAGAAGUUGAUGUGGUGUCAGGUGCUUGUGUCUGGGAGCAUAGCUUAUGGUUCGUUCCCUUGUAGAUUUUUCUACUGGGUCUCCCGAGUAAGCCUCGCUCGACCAGAACACAUGGUCCAACAGUAGGUGUGUGGGACCACAUCAAGCCUUUUUUUUUUUUUAACGUGGGUGCUCUGAAUUGAACUCAGGUCAUUGUGUUUACAUAGUAACCACUGUAUUGACUGAGCCAUCUCCCAACCCGUUUUAUUGUUUUUGUUAUUAAAAUACAUAAAAUAAAUC
rnacentral:lncRNA from 1 species